rnacentral:rRNA from 1 species
ACGUAUGGAGCAAGCGUUAUCCGGAUUUACUGGGUGUAAAGGGAGCGCAGGCGGUACGGCAAGUCCGAUGUGAAAGCCCGGGGCUCAACCCCGGGACUGCAUUGGAAACUGCCGCACUAGAGUGCCGGAGAGGUAAGUGGAAUUCCUAGUGUAGCGGUGAAAUGCGUAGAUAUUAGGAGGAACACCAGUGGCGAAGGCGGCUUACUGGACGGUAACUGACGCUGAGGCUCGAAAGCGUGGGGAGCAAA